rnacentral:rRNA from 1 species
UACGGGGGGAGCAAGCGUUGUUCGGAUUUACUGGGCGUAAAGGGCGCGUAGGCGGUAGCACAAGUCAGUUGUGAAAUCUCCGGGCUUAACUCGGAAAGGUCAACUGAUACUGUGCGACUAGAGUGCAGAAGGGGCAACUGGAAUUCUCGGUGUAGCGGUGAAAUGCGUAGAUAUCGAGAGGAACACCAGUGGCGAAGGCGAGUCCCUGGACAUCUCCUGACACUGAGGCACGAAAGCUAGGGGAGCAAACAGG